rnacentral:lncRNA from 1 species
AACAAAGACCUGGGGAGGAUUUUAAGCACGUUGAAGUGGUUUUAUGCGAUCAGGAAGGAGUUAGGAAAGAAGAGAUGAAGCCAGAGGGGUGGAAGAGAAGCAAGGGCAGGUGAUGCAGAGGCUUGCUUGGGGUGGAUCCCUCUGGCUGGUGAUUUAAAAACGGUAAAGAAACCAAGGAGACAGAAGGCAGCUUGCUGAGUGUCACAGCCAGUGCCAGGAAUUGCACUCUGCUUCCUCCAGCACCAAAGCUUGCACUCUUGGCUCCUCCUUACUCACCGCCCUGAGAAGGAAGAGCAGUGCAGGAAUUCCCCAUCUCCCCUUGCCAAAUGCUUCUCAUUUUAGAAGAAAGCAACACAUGACGUCAUCUCAACAAGUGAAGGUAAAGUCCAGGAAAGCAAAGCUGGAUUCCAGCACUGACUAGGGACUCCGGGGCUGCUCAGCACCAUGGCAGAACAAUACUGGGAGGAAGGUCACAUAAAAGUGAUGGAGGCAGAUGGAAAAGAAGCUGCCUUCAUCACCCAUGGUGGUAAGACCUAAGUGUGAAAAAUCAAGUACUAGCAAUCAAAGUACAUUAGUUACACACCCGGAGGAAAAUACCAAAAGUAUUGGUCGAAAGAGCUGAGGAGGAAUUGAAGGAAACGGAAGAAGGCAAGAGGACUACUCUUUCUUACAUCAAAUCUUCUAAAGCUAUUUGACUCUUUAUAAAGAGUGUAAAUGUGUAUGUAGCUUUCGUUAAAAAAAAAAAUUAAAAAACAACCAACUGAAUACUUAUUUGAGAACUAUUCCAGCAUGAGGUUAUGUGUUCUAUGGGUGACAACAACAAAAAUAGUUUUCAAUGUAACAGUUAAGUAAAAUAUGAAAAAAUUCUCAGAAAUUGGCAAAUAAUUCCAAGUAAAAUUUGAUAAUGAGAUAAAUAAAAAGAUAAUUAGAAAAUGGAGUGACAAAAGGACAGUAAAUUUCUUUAAAAAUCUGUGUUUUAAAGUAGUUUAAAAAAAAAGUACACCUUCCUCAUUUCCUCCCAGACACGCCUUUCCCAGAUUUAUCUAGUCUCAUCCUCCUUGCAUUUCUGAGUAGUGGGCAGAGCAGUUUUUAUCAUCCCCACGUCACAGAGGGGAAAAUAAGGUCCAAACCCAAUGGGUAGCAUAGCAGGGGCACCAUGUCAUUGCGCAUACAGGAAGAAUUAUGGUGAGUGCUUCACAAAUGUGUCUGAGGAGCAAAACUGUAAAAAAGAUUGUUAUGACAGUGUUUAUUUAUCAGCAUCAUUACAUGGUGAUGACAUGGGUACAAAAAGGGACACUCAAAUUAUCACAACUGGCACCACCCUGAGGUAGAAUGGAAGAAAUAAAGACAGGUAGAAAAUGAAAAUCAGCAUAGAGGUAACAUCUCCUGGACAUGUCAUUUUCUUAUGCACACAAGAAUUACUCCUGGGGUUCAGGGUAGUAUGAUGAUUGUGAUAUUUAUAGACAUUUUUCUUAGAGGAUACUGGUUCUUUUGUAUUUCUUAGAGGUUCCUUUUUCUUUUUAGAUGGUCAGUAUUCUUUCAGGGGUCUUGGUCAUGUAAGAAACUUGAAGUUUACAAAAGGAAAAGUUCUAAUCUAAAUUGGGACUCAGCUCAAAGUGGGAGAGCCUUUAAAGAAUAUUUCUUUUCCUGAUAUCAUUGGACGAUAGGCUAUGAUGACCAGCAAUACUGUAUGCUUUUUUAUAGAAAUAGAGGCCCUGUGUCUUUGGAUCUGAGACCUAAUAAAUGAUUAUAAGU